rnacentral:lncRNA from 1 species
ACCACAUCUUCUUUUUUUUUUAUAUAAAUUUGCGUUCAUCAGCUUCAUGUGGACCUUGGUGGAAAGCAAUAGUUUGAAGUUGUCUCAUUCACAAUCGAACCACAUCUACUUUUUAUUCUGUCCAAAACCGGGAAUGAUAGCUGCAAUAGGCAGCGAUUAAAAAACAACAGCAUAAAGCAUCGUAGUGGCCAUCUUAGUCUGUUAACUAAUUUUCACGUUG